AUGGCCAGGCGAGUCGUGAAUCGGGACGAGUCGACAUUGACUCGAAUUGUUGAUUCGGUGUUCGCCUUUGUGAGACACGCUGAGUUUGAGAUCCUCUUGUUUCUUUUCUUCUUCAUCGCUUACAUUCUCUUCAAAGAUAUCACAUCAAGACCGGAAUACAAUCAAAUGUUUGUGAAGAAGCCUGGCGGUGGACCAGAACUUUGGCCCUUUUAA